UUGUUGCCUAUUUUUAACAGCGAGUCCGGCAAAAAAAAAAUGGGUCAAAUUGUUCUCUCCGGAAGACACGGCUCCUUUAAAUAGGCGUGGUCCCGGCGGAUCUGAGACUGCCUCCGAGAGGGAACUACCGGGAUUCUAGGCUUUCGAAAUGUAACGAGGUUCCUGUAAUCCUCCCACAUAGUCAGUCCAUGUUCAGUGGCCCGGGGUAAACCAGGUCAGUUUCACAGAAGCGCGGGGUGGGGUUAGAAAGCGUGGGACUGAGCUAGACAGAUCCUGAGGGAGAGUGAGUCACACACAGAGAGGGUGAACGUGACAGAAUAGACAGCGUGCGAGAUACAGGAAGAGGCAGAGGAGAGGAAGAGGCAGCGUCAAUGUAUGAGAGAGACAAGCGACUUCCAAGGCAAAGCCGAGAAAGGGAGAGAGUCAUUGAGAGAGACAGUACGAGAGAGAGAGAAUAAGAGUGACACAGAGAGAGAGUCAGUAAGAGUGAAAGAGACGGACAGAGAGAAAGUCAGACAGAGAGGGAAACAGCGACAGACUGGGAGAAGUAGAGAGAGGGACAGUGACAGUUAAAGAGAGGCGGAGACAGACACAGCGACAAAGUAAGUUAGUGGGAGAGAUAGACAUAAAGACAGACGGGCUAAUAAAGGGUGGGGGCGAGGGAGAGUUUGAAACAGGCAAACGAAUGGACGAACCUUGGAUGUAAAAAAAGGGAGAUAAAUGUUGGGGAGGUAGGUGGGAAGAGGAGAUUGUCCCUGCUUCACUUCUCAGUCCGGGACUGGGAGAGUAGGAGCCUGGACUGGAGAAAGCCAUGGACUGAGGGCGGAGUCGGGUUGGAAAGGGAGUGUUCCGGUUCAGAACCUGGGAUGCAACUUCAAACUGAGACCAGUCGGGUCGGUGUGGACUUGUUGGACUGAAGGGUCUGUUUCCACACUGUAGGGAAUCUAAUCAGAAUGCCUUGGUCCCAUUCACUCUUUGCCCUGUGUGUAUUGACCUGCAUUGAUCCAACAGAAACCUAUUGGCUCAAUGCAUCUGGACAAUGCAUGGACUGGGAUGUGAGCAAUGUCCGUGAAGUGAGGGCCUACAACGGGGAGCCAGCAAGAGUUAGCUGUCCCCUCUUCUCAACCCACGUCAAGUUAAACUACAGCACGGCCCGUGGUUCAGGACUGACACUAACGUGGUAUAAAACCAAACAAACUGAAGAGCUGCAAGAGCUGAUUGACUUUGAUCAAGCAGGAAAUCGAAUCACAAAGGAGCAGGAAGUGCUGUGGUUUUGGCCAGUGUUUGCUAAUGAUUCUGGGAAUUACACCUGCAUGUUCAGGAACACUACUUAUUGUCUCAAGGUGGCUGUACCCCUUCUGGUCAUUCAGAAAGGACUGAAUGAUUGCAACAGCAGUAAGGAAAUGAUUUUCCCUGUGCAGUUCGCUCUCGGAGAAACAAAAUACUUGAGCUGUCCAGACACUACUGAAUUCUCCAAGUCUUCAACCAACUCAACAGUUGCCUGGUAUACUUAUAAGGCCCCUUUGGAGCACCACGCAAAGGAUCAGUGUCAGGGGUGUUGUAGAGUUGAGGAAGUGGUGGAGAUUGUGACAGAGAUUGAAGGUAAAUUGGUAUUCCACGUUGUACGAGAAUACCACAGAGGAGAAUACACGUGUAUCGUAACAAUGAAACAAAGAGAACAGCCUUACACUCUGACCAGAACAGUCAGCAUCUCGAUUUGUGCUAGCCAACAGGAAUUGAAGGCACCGGUUUUAAUUUUGCCAAAAGUCAAUCAACAAGUUAUAGUUGAACACGGUCAGGAAGUAAAUUUAACCUGUAGGAUGUAUUUCCAUUGUAUCCAAAAUUCACCCACAACUCUCUGGUGGACUGUCGCUGGGCAACAUGCAGAGGACCUAGCUCCAGCAAUAAAAUUAUUUCAGAGUGAAGAGUUGUUGCAACUCAAGGACAAAAUCAUUACAAACACAAUAAGCUUCAAAACUGUGACCUCGAGUGACCUCCAGAGGAACUACACGUGCUUUGGGCAAAACCGCAAAGGUCUGACCAGUGUACAAGUGACUUUAGCCUGGAAAGCUCCUAGUUAUGCAAUUGAACUUGGAUGCGCCUUUGGAGUUACACUAUCGAUCCUGAUCACUUCCAUCAUUGUCUACCACUUCUGGUGGAUUGAGAUCGUGUUGCUCUACCGACUGUACUUUGGCGCCGAUGAGACAGUGGGAGACGGGAAGGAGUUCGAUGUCUACAUGUCAUACGCGAGGAAUUCCAAAGAGGAGGAGUUUGUCCUCACCACGCUGCAAUCCGUUUUGGAAAACGAAUAUGGAUACAAAAUCUGCAUCUAUGACCGGGAUAGUUUACCCGGUGGGAUCAUUACAGAUGAGACAUUGGCUUGUAUUUGGAAAAGCAGGAGGCUGUUGGUGGUAUUGAGCCCGAAUUACCUAGUGAAUGGGACACAGGCUCUUUUAGAGUUGAAGGCUGGCACUGAACGCAUGGCCAGCACUGGGCAGAUCCGAGUUAUACUGGUGGAGUUCAGCCCAGUGAAGAAAGUCCACCAUGUGCCAGAGCUGAGGAGGCUGAAGGCGGUGACGGCAACCAUCAAGUGGGAAGGGGAGAAGUCCCAAGAUCCCAGGAGCCGAUUCUGGAAGCAGCUCCGGGUCGCUCUUCCCACAAAAAGCAAAACACAGAGGUCCGAGAGAGAGAGCAGGAGGUUAGUGUAUGACAAUUGUGACUCACUCCUACAAGAUGGAAAACUGCCCAGAUAUUCUGUUUCUGAGAACUGAUGAUUGCAAUUGCCAACAAAUAUCUUCAUGGUUAAAGAGCAAACUAUGACUUAAUAGUUGUUGAAUACUCUACAAAGGAAGAAGUCAAAUCCUCAAUAUGUUGAAUAUUAACUUAUUGUUUAACAGUAAAAUUCUUCCUGUAGACCAUGCUCCUUUUCAAAGAUUCUGAAAAGGUACAAAUCAGGGGAGCAGUAAAAGGCGUAAAGUUGCAGAUCAAAUCUUCAAACUGUCGUACAACGUAUUGGUGGCAGUAGAGUGAGGAGGUGGAAAUGUCUAGUGCAUAUUUCAUUCCAAUCUUCUCCUGUCUCAGUGAAACUGUGUCUUACCAAUCACUGCCAAGACAACUGCCCCUUUGCAGCAUUAUCCAAGAAGUUUAACUUCUAAAGGGCAUUUGGUCUCAUGCUCCCUGAAUUUUCAAUUCUGUGUCCUCACUUCCACAACCUUCGCCAGUCUCUAGGUAGACCAGUAACUCUGCUGGCAUUUGUUUUCUGUCCAAUCACAGUUGGCUGGUAGAAAUUCAACUCGCCAGUUUGAUUUCAGAACUAUGCCUCUUCACAUUGACUAUUAAAUUAAUUCAAUUCAGGAACCAUCUCAGAUGGAAGUGACCUUCACAUUCCACCAAAAUGUGGCUAUCAUGAGUGUUCUUCCCUUUACCCGACUUGACAGCAUGGAGCUUUAGUGCAGACUUGAGGGAUGCAUCAGAGAAACCCUUCCCUUCUUGCGUUCCAGUUGAUGUCCCUGAUCUAUCUGGUGUGGCUUCCAGGCCAGUUCAGGCAUGACCUGAAGAACAGCAAAAGAACAAAGGCAGAGGGAUGCAAAUGAUGCUUUCCCAUCAUGAGCCAUUGACCUGUUUCCCCUGUAAUUGUCUCUCAGUUUGUGUGUGUCUGUCUCUGUGGACAAUUCACAGUAUUUUGGUAUUGGCUGCUGAAAGAGAUCAGAAUCAAUAUGUGCCCUUUCUUCAUGGAUGCCGAGAAGGACAAAUGGCAAUAGUUGGAUUCGUUAAUCAAAGAAAUCUCCUCCUGGUGGUGAGACUUCAAAGACUCCAGCAACUCCUUCUCCUUUUUCCUGAAGUACAUUUCUUCCAGUGCCUCCUCUCUUUUGGAGAAAGCUCCUCCACCUUCUCGGAUUGCUCCGUUGGACUUCAUCCAGUCUCCUGUGUUCACUUGUCGACACUGGUUUACAACGAAGCCACACCGGGUGUGCUGGAACAGGAUGUUCCUGAGCUGGAAGCCCAGCAGACUCAUCGCCAUCUUGAUGUUGUUCACAGAAGCUGCAGAACCAUCUCCAUCACGAGUCAGACCUGUGUGCUAUUGUGAUGUCAGAAGCCAGAAGACUCCGUUGUCCCUCAGUGAGCAAUUGCCAUGGUUUCAGGACAAUUUUUUUUUUAUUGACCGUCCAUC